GUCCACGCCCUAAACGAUGUCAACUGGUUGUCGGGGAAGCAAUUCCUUGGUAACGAAGCUAACGCGUGAAGUUGACCGCCUGGGGAGUACGGCCGCAAGGUUAAAACUCAAAGGAAUUGACGGGGACCCGCACAAGCGGUGGAUUAUGUGGAUUAAUUCGAUGCAACGCGAAAAACCUUACCUACCCUUGACAUGUACGGAACCUCGCAGAGAUGUGAGGGUGCCCGAAAGGGAGCCGUAACACAGGUGCUGCAUGGCUGUCGU
rnacentral:rRNA from 1 species